rnacentral:lncRNA from 1 species
AGAAAGAAAUGUCAGUGGAAUCGACACUUCCUCUGUAUGAGACAACUUCAAAGAACCCCCAAACGUCUUCUGCUGUGUGAGGACAGAGGGAGAAGCAUCCAUGAACAAGGAAACUAGACACCAAAUCUGCCAAGACUGAUGGUGAAUUCCAGCCUACAGAACUGUGAGCAAUAAAUAUCUGUUGUUUAUAAGCCACCUAGUCUAUGGUACUUUUUAUACCAGCCUAAACAGACUAAUCCAGAGAGUAAAUACAUGACAGAAAAUUUUCAUAGAAGCUAAAUAAAGCCCAAUUACCAUACCUUCUAAGUUGUCAUUGUGCAGUAUUUAGACUCAAUAGAUUUCAAAGUUUUAGAUACGCCAUACUUAAUUAAAUUAAGACUGCAUGCCUUUGUAUGUUUUAUGAGAAUCUUCUGAGAAAAUUAAGUAAGUUUCAAGGAAAAUAAUCAAUAUAAUAGGGGU